rnacentral:lncRNA from 1 species
UCCAGCGAGGGCGGACUGCCUUGGCCUUUAAGCGCCCGCUGACGCUCAACUGAAAGAGGCUCGGGUCAGUCCCCACACCAUGCCCGUUUUGCGCUCCGAGCCAGAGUGCGCCUGAGCCGUCCGGGCCUCGGUGUCCCCGCGGGUCUUGCGCCGCCGCCUCUCCGUGAUGCAGGCGCGCGCCCUACUCCCUGCCACGCUGGCCACGCUGGCCACGCUAGCUGUGUCGGUCCUGGCCCGGGAGCCCCCGGCGGCGCCUUGUCCUGCGCGCUGCGACGUGUCGCGCUGUCCGAGCCCUCGCUGCCCUGGGGGCUAUGUGCCAGACCUCUGCAACUGCUGCUUGGUGUGCGCCGCCAGCGAGGGUGAGCCCUGCGGCCGCCCCCU